CUUGGUCAUUUAGAGGAAGUAAAAGUCGUAACAAGGUUUCCGUAGGUGAACCUGCGGAAGGAUCAUUAACGAGUUAGGGUCUCUCUGGCCCGACCUCCCAACCCUUUGUCUACUUGACCAUCGUUGCUUCGGCGAGCCCGUCCUCACGGACCGCCGGAGGGAUCUUUACUGGCCCUCUGGUCCGCGCUCGUCGGUAGCCCAACCUUUAAAAUCUUUAACUAAACGUGCCUUAAUCUAAGUACAAUUAUUAAAUAAAAGCAAAACUUUCAACAACGGAUCUCUUGGUUCUGGCAUCGAUGAAGAACGCAGCGAAAUGCGAUAAGUAAUGCGAAUUGCAGAAUUCCAGUGAGUCAUCGAAUCUUUGAACGCACAUUGCGCCCUUCGGUAUUCCGAAGGGCAUGCCUGUUCGAGCGUCAUUAUCACCCCUCAAGCCCUCGGCUUGGUGUUGGACGGUUUGGUGGAGGCCCCCUCGGGGGUUCCUGCCCCUCCCAAAGACAAUGACGGCGGCCUCGUUGGACCCCCGGUACACUGAGUUCUUCACGGGACACGUAUCGGACACAUGGGUUUACGGGACACGGUCUGCCUCCCCUCAGGGAGAAUCUUUCUAAGGUUGACCUCGGAUCAGGUAGGGAUACCCGCUGAACUUAAGCAUAUCAAUAAGCGGAGGAAAAGAAACCAACAGGGGUUGCCUCAGUAACGGCGAGUGAAGCGGCAACAGCUCAAAUUUGAAAUCUGGCCUCUUUGGGGUCCGAGUUGUAAUUUGUAGAAGAUGUUUCGGGUGUGGCUCCGGUUUAAGUUCUUUGGAAUAUUACAUCAUAGAGGGUGAGAAUCCCGUAUGUGACCGGCAGCCUUCGCCUAUGUGAAACUCUUUCGACGAGUCGAGUUGUUUGGGAAU
rnacentral:sRNA from 1 species